CCUACGGGAGGCAGCAGUGGGGAAUAUUGCACAAUGGGGGAAACCCUGAUGCAGCGACGCCGCGUGAAGGAAGAAGUAUUUCGGUAUGUAAACUUCUAUCAGCAGGGAAGAAAAUGACGGUACCUGACUAAGAAGCCCCGGCUAACUACGUGCCAGCAGCCGCGGUAAUACGUAGGGGGCAAGCGUUAUCCGGAUUUACUGGGUGUAAAGGGAGCGUAGGCGGUCAUGCAAGUCUGAUGUGAAAACCCGGGGCUCAACCCCGGGACUGCUUUGGAAACUGUGGAGCUGGAGUGUAGGAGAGGUAAGUGGAAGUCCUAGUGUAGCGGUGAAAUGCGUAGAUAUUAGGAGGAACACCAGUGGCGAAGGCGGCUUGCUGGACGGCGAAUGACGUUGAGGCUCGAAAGCGUGGGGAGCAAACAGGAUUAGAUACCCGUGUAGUC
rnacentral:rRNA from 1 species